ensembl:snRNA LOC120097971 U7 small nuclear RNA
GAGUGAACACAGCUCUUUUAGAAUUUUUUUUUUCUGGCUUUCUAAUUUUGAUUGAGAAAACCCAA